AGUCGUGUGUACAUCAUUGGGAAUGGAGGGAAAUAAAUGACUGGAUGGUCGCUGCUUUUUAAGUUUCAAAUUGACACUCUAGGCAAGCGGUGCCUGAGCCCGUGCCUGUCUUCAGAUCUUCACAGCACAGUUCCUGGGAAGGUGGAGCCACCAGCCUCUCCCUGACAAGCAAAGUGGAUCAGCAAAGGCUGCAGUCACCAGCAUCUUUUCCAUCCUUAAUUAACUGCAUCCUCAAAAGAACACUAUCAGACUGGCUCUGCCGACUUCCAGUUCUGGAACAAGAUGGUUAAACUCAUUUUUCCCUGCUCUGCUCCUCUAAAUACAACUAAGUACCUUGGAAACUAUUCAGCACACAAUGAUAAAGAGCUCUGAAAGCUAGAAGAAAAGAAGGUGUACUUGCAAGAAACCUCAGGACUUGAGUAACAGCAACAUGGCAGGCCAGAAAAGAGACCCAGGGAGGUUAGCCCAUGUCUUCGGCUACACUGGUGAAGGCAUCAUGCCUGCUCCACACCACAUUUUUAUUCAAGAUGUGUACCAUAUGAUGGCCAAGGCAGCUUCAUCAAUCAUGGUAUCUCAAGGGAGCUGGAGCAGAUGAGGAGGAGAUGGAGGUCCCAGGAAGGGCUGUGAUCUGCCUGGGGUCCCACAGUGAGAAACAGAACAAUCCAUUUCACAGAUGAAGAAACAGACUCAGUGAGCACGUGAUCACUUCUCACAACUAAUGGAGCCAGGAUUCUGUCCGUAUGCCUCCAGAGACCUCUUUUUUUUCCCCGCUGUACCACAACACUCACCAGGACUGGAGUGCCACCUAUGACCUCACUGCAUAAUGGAUG
rnacentral:lncRNA from 1 species